AAAACUUCAAGCGGCUUUGAAUUCACGAGGAUAUCUAUAACACAAUAUCCAGUGGCGCUGGUUUUCAAUUCUGGUGAUUUCUAGAGUUUUGCGGUGUGUAAUGUUUAGAGAUGUGGUUUGGGUUUGUGGGGACUGUUUCAUUUUUAGAGAGGUAGCUUGACCCCAUUGACGAAUUUUUUCAUAGCAGCUUCAAAUCAACCUUUCUCCUCUCAGUGGGUCAUCUGCUCUGUUUCUUCCACAAUUCCGAGGACAAGUUCGUCGCGGCCAACGUUGAUACUUUUGAUUCCAAAGUUGCCUCCUUUAUAUCUCACAAAGCAGUGCUGCAAUUCUCACAAGGUGAACAUUUAACAGAUUUAUCAUGGACAAGUUAACAAAAUAAUUUUGUUGAAUGUUCUAAUUCAGUUGGACUGCCUUCUAGUUAGCCUACUUGAGCAUUUUCAUUUCUUAUGCUGAAAGAGCUCUACAUGCAUCUCUUCUUAUUAAGUUUUUGUUCUAUUGGUGUCCAUUGUCUUUGUCAGCUUAAGUUCUUGGACUACCUACAAUGGGAGGCAAUUAUUCGUUGGAUACUUGAGUACUGCUUCACUAAUUUUCAUGUAUGUUUGCCAUUGAUUGUCAUCAUAACUUUGUGUCGAAUGAUCCUCAUUCAGAUUGUUCUUAGAUGGUUGAAUUUGUUCUCACUCAUGCCCUUUUUUUUCUUCAAAAUUUGGUGAUCAAGACAAAAUGCGUUGAGUUCAACAACAACAAAGCCUUUUCCCACAAAAUGAGUUGAGUUCAUGCCAUUUAAUCUUUUCUUUGCAACUUUCAUAGUGAGUUUCUCAUUCACUGGACAUGGAGUGUUCAAGGUGAACCUUUUUCUCUAUAUGCCAAAUGGUAUUGAGAAACAAUUUUAGCCUUUGUACAGUUGGUUCUAUUCUUCUGAAAAAGAUGCGGAAGAAGAACCAUUGAUAGUUGCACAUCUGUGUUGCAGAGAUUUGAUUCAAAUUGGUGGAUUUGUGUAAGAAAAUAAGAAACCCUAACAUUUCUUUUGAGUUUAAGAGCUGAAAUGGACAUGCAUGUGUUUAUCAUUGUGAGAUAUAAGGGAUUGAGGAAUUUUGAGAGUGGUGGCUAGCUAAGGAAAUAGAGAAGGGAUAAUUCAUUUUGUUUUGGGAUCCAGAGUUUAUUGCAAAGUUGAAUUCUCAUGAUUUUGUUGUUGUUCUAAUAUCUUAUGUUCAUGUAUUUGAAUGCAUUAUUUUUAUUCUUGCCAAUUUAUCUAAACCCCAAUUCAAUUUGCCAAUUCAUUAGAGAGUAUUGGGUCUAAUCAUUUCCCUUUAAUUUUUCAAGUUUUUUUUUAUUUUUUAUUUCUAUAGGGGUGUUGCAAGUGUCCAUGUCAUUAAGGAAAAAGAACCAUUUUUUUCUGGAUAUAUUGAAACAUGUAAGAAAUUGUUCUCUACUAACAUAUUAGGGUUUAAUUUCUCUACUAACAUGUAAGAAAUUAUGUUACAUGUUUAGUUUCUUUUAGUUGUACUAUAUAGAUAGAUGUGUAUGUAUUAGUAUUCAAUUUAUCCCCAUUCUCUUAUGGUGUUUGCUAAACUCUUGUUGCACAAUCUCUGAUGGUUCCAUUGUUGGGCAAAAAUUUGAGAUUAAAUUUUGUUGAUGCACAAAAUCAGUGAGGACUUUGGUACAAUGAAAGUGUUAAGUUUGUGAUCUUCGCUAGAUUGCUCCGGUCACUAGUGUGGAUAAGUAUGUAAAUGGAUAGA